rnacentral:rRNA from 1 species
CCUACGGGGGGCAGCAGUAGGGAAUAUUGCUCAAUGGGGGAAACCCUGACGCAGCGACGCCGCGUGGGUGAAGGAGUGCUUCGGCAUGUAAAGCCCUAUCGGCAGGGAAGAAGCAAGACGGUACCUGACUACGAAGCCCCGGCGAACUACGUGCCAGCAGCCGCGGUCAUCCGUAGGGGGCGAGCGUUAGCCGGAUUCACUGGGUGUAAAGGGAGCGUAGACGGCCAAGCAAGGCAGGGGGGAAAGCCCGGGGCCCAACCCCGGGACUGCCCUUGGAACUGCAUGGCUGGAGUGCGGGAGGGGCAGGCGGAAUUACUGGUGUAGCGGUGAAAUGCGUAGAUAGCAGGAAGAACACCGGCGGCGAAGGCGGCCUGCUGGACCGCGACUGACGUUGAGGCUCGAAAGCGUGGGGAGCGAACAGGAUUAGAUACCCCUGUAGUC